rnacentral:rRNA from 1 species
UACGAAGGGGGGCUAGCGUUGCUCGGAUUGACUGGGCGUAAAGAGCGCGCAGGCGGUCGUGCAAGUCGCGUGUGAAAGCCCCCGGCUCAACUGGGGAGGGUCACGCGAUACUGCUCGACUCGAAGGCAGGAGAGGGAAGUGGAAUUCCCGGGUGUAGUGGUGAAAUGCGUAGAUAUCGGGAGGAACACCAGUGGCGAAGGCGACUUCCUGGCCUGUUCUUGACG